CGUCCAUUUAGCAGGUGGUCUCACUCCAACAAAUUGUUCUUUCAGCAACAUCUACUUAAAUAGUCUUCGCACUUCGUCUUCACUCCAUCAACACACGAACCCUAAAACCUCGUCCUCACUUCAUCACUUCAUCACUUCAUCACUUCAUCAACACACGAGCCCUAAACCCUCGUCCUCACUUCUUCACUUCAUCAACACACGAGCCCUAAACUCUACCAUCAUCAACCCUCGUCCUCACUUCAUCACAACCUAGUAGCCUACUCGUAGAAUGAAGCAAAAGGAAGAAGACAUUGCAAAUCAUAGCCUAAUCGUAGAAAGCAGCAGAAGGAAGAAGACAUUGCAACAGAUUUUUUCCAGAGAAGUAAGGAGAAAAGCAUAAAAGUAAAAGCCACAAGCAUAAGGAUUCAUCAGUUCAUUGAUAGGGAAAAUGAACUUAGACAAUCAAAACCACCCACUCCACAGCUACCACAAAGACCAACCAUGGAUCCCUGGACAAAGUCUCGACUCAGUGGUCAUUUGUGUACACAAUCACCUCUGCUAUUAUCAUCAGGUUAAUACCAGCAGUAUCUCGGAGUAUAUGAUACAUUGCAGAAGAAAUAUCUGAAAACACUCUUAUUCUCUGUGUGUGAAGCAAUAGAUGGGCCCAUAUGAUUGAGGAAUAUGCUUGCCUUCCAUAAUUCUUAUAUACAUGUGCCAAUGUGGGUUCUAUGUCUAUAGCAUCGCUGCCCUCCUUGUCUGGGAAACUCGAACGAAAUAUUUUGCAGUAAUGAUGUCUCAUCAUAUAGUCACUGUCAUACUGAUUUCAUACUCAUACAUUACAAGCCGGCGUGGUUUCGGCGACUGAGACGGGGCUCGAAGAGGCUUUGUGGCAGUUGUCGCACAGUGGUGGGCCCAAAUCCUACCCCGAGCGUCCUAACGUGGCUGAUUGUAUCUAUUACUUGGGGACUGGCUUGUGCGGCUAUGGUGCUCGCUGUCGGUUCAACCAAGGCCUAAUUGGGUUGAUCUUAAUGUUCACUUGGGGUUUAGUGUAGAUCUGUUGAUAAUUGGGUUGAUCUUAAUGUUCAAAGAAGGGACUUGGGCUCACGAACACUAUUGAUAACUGCAACAACCCGGGUUCCACUUGAGCAAGUAGGGCAUGGAUUGACACCAACACCAAUCGCGAAAACUAGAGAAUGAUCAACACUCAGCGGGGCGUUUGCAGGGUAGAGUCUCGAAUUCAAGCUUCUGAGGGAGUCCGUGAAAGAAAUUGUCACUGGCGUGGUGUCCGCGAAAGUAAUGCCUAGUUGGAAUUGUAUUAUUACUUCAUUGUAAUUACAUUUGGAAUAAAUAUGGCAUCAUUUUUUGACCACAUAGUAAAUACUAGUUGUAGGUUUACAGUUUUGUAAAUAUUAAUAUGAUAUAAGUAUAACCACAUAGUAAUCUUCCAUCAAUUUGAUAUGCUAGAAAUUAAAGUUCUAAAAUUUGACAUGGGAUGGGUCAAUGUGAUCAAUAGAUAUUUAUGCAGAUGGUAUACUUAUUCCAAAUUAGGCAAGACAGGUUGGUGAUAGACUUCUGGAAUGAUAUAUUAUUCUUCUUACCAGGAAAAUAAUGGGAUAAGACUUCUGUAAUGUUUGUUCUCAUGCUAUGUAGUUAAGUCCCCCAUUUAAUGCAUUGGCAGGCAAAAGAGGCUGGUAGCACUUGAUUUUGUAUUGGUGCUGCAUGCAGGGAUACUAUAGGAAGGAAAACCAAUUUAAUAUAAUUUUCUGCCUGUGAAGUUGAAACUGAUGCUACAAUUGGUUCUCUGGCAUUAAUUCUUCAAAGGAGAAUUGAUUUUUCCAAUCUCAUGAUUGUAUGUGGGACUUUGAAGAACUUUUCAAAGAGCACUUCAGGAGGCGCGGUUAUUACAUUCUCAAAGCAUGUGAUGCCUAUAUUGAGAAAUUUGCUCCCUUGGAUGAGAGGCCAAAGGGAGCUCCAUACAUCAACCAAGGUGUGGGAUGCACGGAAAUUAUAUUGCUGAUAAUAGGCAUGGAGAUGAUGAAGGAUUUUGUUCAUGGAGCAUGUAUGAAAUAGAAGGUUUUUGUGAAAGAUCUUUUGAAAUUACAGUGUCUGACAUGUAUCAGGUAUUAGUGUUUCUUACAGUACUAAAAAAUUUGGAAUUUCAUUACAUUGUACUCAGUUGACAUUGACCAAUCUGGCUAUUCACUUAGUCUUAUAAUUACAGAGUAGUUUUUGUUUUCUUUUUGAAAUGAGGUUGGCUUAAGUGUUGACAUCCCCUCUUAUAUAUGGUUGUGUAAUUUUCUAUUUGAGAU